UUAGCGAGGAAAGAAGAUUCUUGUUAAAUUUAAUUCUAGUCUGGCAUUAUAAGAAGAUAUAAAAAACUGUAGUAUAAGUGAGAUAUGGUAACAUCGUUGGUGAAAUAUCGCUUUCAUUUUUUUAGUUAGUCGGUUGGAUGGAGCACAUAUUUUAAUAUUCUAGAGCCUAUUCUAAAGCGGGGACUUUAAUUGGGAUGAUACAUCUGUCAAAAAAUAAGUAUUAUAUAUAUAACAGCGCAAAAAAGACUAAAACCUCGCAUAGAGCAAAAAAGCAAAAGAUUUAAUCUUGAUAUUCGAUACCCACAAAAACUGGCCUAUCGAUUCUUUUAGCUUAAACAGUUUUCAGCAAAAGAUGUCAAAAAAAUUACCAUAAGGAUAAAUUGGCUUUUGGCUAAGACUUCAUAGCGAUAUUCUUCGAUAUCGACUUUUUCUAUCAUUGCGAAGCAGAAUUUUCCAAGCGUCAGAUUUACGUGAGAACAUGAGCUAAGUCUAUUGAUGAUUAAUUGUUGCAAUAGUAAUCCUGCUAA
rnacentral:ncRNA from 1 species